UUUGUUUUUAUUUUAGGGUAGAAUCUUAAUAGGAAGAAAUAAUAAUAGUGUAAGACAUAUUACUUAUUUUAUGGACCAGGAUUAGAUACCCUGUUACUUUUAUGUAAGUUUUUUUGGAUUAAUAAUGUUAAUGAAAUUUAACGGAUUUGGCGGCAAGAUAGCCCCUUAGAGGAACCUGCCCUGUAAACGAUGAACCACGAGUACUUUACUUUCUUUUGUAGGUCAGUUUGUAUAUCGCUGUUGUCAGUUGAAUUUUAGAAAAUAUUUUCGUUAAUGAAAAAAUCAUUGACUUCAAGUAAAGGUGCAGCUUAUAGGAAAGAUAGAGGUGGGUUACAUUUAGAAGAUUAAAAUGGAUUGGAAAAAGAAAUAUUUCAUGAAGGUGGAUUUAACAGUAAAAUUUAAUAAAGUUUGAUUGGAGCUCUAUCUUGUGUACACACCGCCCGUCGCUCUCUUUUUUAAA
rnacentral:rRNA from 1 species